UAGGAGAUAUUCCAUCGGGCCCACUAAA
rnacentral:sRNA from 1 species